AGUGAACGCUGGCGGCAGGCCUAAUACAUGCAAGUCGAACGGCAGCACAGCAGAGCUUGCUCUGUGGGUGGCGAGUGGCGGGACGGGUGAGGAAUACGUGGGAAUCUGCCCAGUCGUGGGGGAUAACGUAGGGAAACUUACGCUAAUACCGCAUGCGCCCUUCGGGGAAAGCCGGGGACCUUCGGGCCUGGCGCGAUUGGAUGAGCCCACGUCGGAUUAGCUAGUUGGCGGGGUAAAGGCCCACCAAGGCGACGAUCCGUAGCUGGUCUGAGAGGAUGAUCAGCCACACUGGAACUGAGACACGGUCCAGACUCCUACGGGAGGCAGCAGUAGGGAAUAUUGGACAAUGGGCGCAAAGCCUGAUCCAGCCAUGCCGCGUGAGUGAAGAAGGCCCUCGGGUUGUAAAGCUCUUUUGUCCGGAAAGAAAGACGCCGGGUUAAUACCCUGGUGUCCUGACGGUACCGGGAAGAAUAAGACACCGGCUAAACUUCGUGCCAGCAGCCGCGGUAAU
rnacentral:rRNA from 1 species